rnacentral:tRNA from 1 species
GCCGAGGUAGCUCAGUGGUAGAGCAGGGGACUCAUAAGCCCUUGGUCGCGGGAUCGACUCCCGCCCUCGGCA